GGGUUGUGAGGUUAAGCGACUAAGCGUACACGGUGGAUGCCCUGGCAGUCAGAGGCGAUGAAGGACGUGCUAAUCUGCGAAAAGCGCCGGCGAGGUGAUAUGAACCUUUGACCCGGCGAUGUCCGAAUGGGGAAACCCAGUGCAAUCCGUUGCACUAUCGUUAACUGAAUACAUAGGUUAACGAGGCGAACCGGGGGAACUGAAACAUCUAAGUACCCCGAGGAAAAGAAAUCAACCGAGAUUCCCCCAGUAGCGGCGAGCGAACGGGGAGCAGCCCGGAGUCUGAAUCAGCUUGUGUGUUAGUGGAACGGUCUGGAAAGUCCGGCGAUACAGGGUGAUAGCCCCGUACACGAAAGCACACAUGCUGUGAACUCGAAGAGUAGGGCGGGACACGUGGUAUCCUGUCUGAAUAUGGGGGGACCAUCCUCCAAGGCUAAAUACUCCUGACUGACCGAUAGUGAACCAGUACCGUGAGGGAAAGGCGAAAAGAACCCCGGCGAGGGGAGUGAAAAAGAACCUGAAACCGUGUACGUACAAGCAGUGGGAGCCUCUUUAUGGGGUGACUGCGUACCUUUUGUAUAAUGGGUCAGCGACUUAUAUUCUGUAGCAAGGUUAACCGUAUAGGGGAGCCGAAGGGAAACCGAGUCUUAACUGGGCGUUAAGUUGCAGGGUAUAGACCCGAAACCCGGUGAUCUAGCCAUGGGCAGGUUGAAGGUUGGGUAACACUAACUGGAGGACCGAACCGACUAAUGUUGAAAAAUUAGCGGAUGACCUGUGGCUGGGGGUGAAAGGCCAAUCAAACCGGGAGAUAGCUGGUUCUCCCCGAAAGCUAUUUAGGUAGCGCCUCGUGAACUCAUCUUCGGGGGUAGAGCACUGUUUCGGCUAGGGGGCCAUCCCGGCUUACCAACCCGAUGCAAACUACGAAUACCGAAGAAUGUUAUCACGGGAGACACACGGCGGGUGCUAACGUCCGUCGUGAAGAGGGAAACAACCCAGACCGCCAGCUAAGGUCCCAAAGUCAUGGUUAAGUGGGAAACGAUGUGGGAAGGCACAGACAGCCAGGAUGUUGGCUUAGAAGCAGCCAUCAUUUAAAGAAAGCGUAAUAGCUCACUGGUCGAGUCGGCCUGCGCGGAAGAUGUAACGGGGCUAAACCAUGCACCGAAGCUGCGGCAGCGACACUAUGUGUUGUUGGGUAGGGGAGCGUUCUGUAAGCCGUUGAAGGUGUGCUGUGAGGCAUGCUGGAGGUAUCAGAAGUGCGAAUGCUGACAUAAGUAACGAUAAAGCGGGUGAAAAGCCCGCUCGCCGGAAGACCAAGGGUUCCUGUCCAACGUUAAUCGGGGCAGGGUGAGUCGACCCCUAAGGCGAGGCCGAAAGGCGUAGUCGAUGGGAAACAGGUUAAUAUUCCUGUACUUGGUGUUACUGCGAAGGGGGGACGGAGAAGGCUAUGUCAGCCGGGCGACGGUUGUCCCGGUUUAAGCAUGUAGGCGGAGGUUCCAGGUAAAUCCGGUACCUUGUUAACGCUGAGGUGUGAUGACGAGGCACUACGGUGCUGAAGUGAUAAAUGCCCUGCUUCCAGGAAAAGCCUCUAAGCAUCAGGUAACACGAAAUCGUACCCCAAACCGACACAGGUGGUCAGGUAGAGAAUACCAAGGCGCUUGAGAGAACUCGGGUGAAGGAACUAGGCAAAAUGGUGCCGUAACUUCGGGAGAAGGCACGCUGAUAUGUAGGUGAAGCCCCUGCGGGCGGAGCUGAAAUCAGUCGAAGAUACCAGCUGGCUGCAACUGUUUAUUAAAAACACAGCACUGUGCAAACACGAAAGUGGACGUAUACGGUGUGACGCCUGCCCGGUGCCGGAAGGUUAAUUGAUGGGGUUAGCGGCAACGCGAAGCUCUUGAUCGAAGCCCCGGUAAACGGCGGCCGUAACUAUAACGGUCCUAAGGUAGCGAAAUUCCUUGUCGGGUAAGUUCCGACCUGCACGAAUGGCGUAAUGAUGGCCAGGCUGUCUCCACCCGAGACUCAGUGAAAUUGAACUCGCUGUGAAGAUGCAGUGUACCCGCGGCAAGACGGAAAGACCCCGUGAACCUUUACUAUAGCUUGACACUGAACACUGGUCCUUGAUGUGUAGGAUAGGUGGGAGGCUUUGAAGCGUGGACGCCAGUCUGCGUGGAGCCAACCUUGAAAUACCACCCUUUAAUGGCUGGUGUUCUAACGUAGACCCGUAAUCCGGGUUGCGGACAGUGUCUGGUGGGUAGUUUGACUGGGGCGGUCUCCUCCCAAAGAGUAACGGAGGAGCACGAAGGUUGGCUAAUCCUGGUCGGACAUCAGGAGGUUAGUGCAAUGGCAUAAGCCAGCUUGACUGCGAGCGUGACGGCGCGAGCAGGUGCGAAAGCAGGUCAUAGUGAUCCGGUGGUUCUGAAUGGAAGGGCCAUCGCUCAACGGAUAAAAGGUACUCCGGGGAUAACAGGCUGAUACCGCCCAAGAGUUCAUAUCGACGGCGGUGUUUGGCACCUCGAUGUCGGCUCAUCACAUCCUGGGGCUGAAGUAGGUCCCAAGGGUAUGGCUGUUCGCCAUUUAAAGUGGUACGCGAGCUGGGUUUAGAACGUCGUGAGACAGUUCGGUCCCUAUCUGCCGUGGGCGCUGGAGAAUUGAGGGGGGCUGCUCCUAGUACGAGAGGACCGGAGUGGACGCAUCACUGGUGUUCGGGUUGUCAUGCCAAUGGCACUGCCCGGUAGCUAAAUGCGGAAGAGAUAAGUGCUGAAAGCAUCUAAGCACGAAACUUGCCCCGAGAUGAGUUCUCCCUGAGACUUUAAGUCUCCUGAAGGAACGUUGAAGACUACGACGUUGAUAGGUCGGGUGUGUAAGCGCAGCGAUGCGUUGAGCUAACCGAUACUAAUGAACCGUGAGGCUUAACCUUACAACGCCGAAGCUGUU
rnacentral:rRNA from 1 species